UUUAAAGACUCUGAGCACUUUUAUAAUUCCUGUUGGCUCUGCGAGCUUCAGCUUGUUCCAGCUUGUCUUCAGCUUGUCCCAGCCUGCUCCCUCCCUCCUUAUCAGCUGCCCGGUCAAGGUUGCCAGAGAGGAGAGAACGCUGCUGCCUGAACUGAGAGCAGAGAGAGAAGAGGUCUAAAGACAGAACUGUGAACUGCUUACCCGACCAACGGUGCCUGGAGAAGGAGGGUUGCAGCAUUUGUGAAACAGCGCUGGUCGCAUGACUGAGGUGAAAACUACAGGCUUAGGACAAUCGCUAAGAUCUAAAAGCAGAGAACUCAAAAUAGAGAAAUAUACUGAGGUUGUUGAUGAGCACAUCAGGAAGCUGCUGCAGAGAGCAGGUGGGAAUAUAGAUUGAUACCCCCACUUGCCCCCCAAUUUAAGGCAGUUGCACCUGGGGUAAACUGCCCUCUCUCUAUAUUAAGACAACUUUUACCAUGGUUUUUACUAGAAGAACAUAUAAGGAGUUGGGUAUACUGCCUGACUCGGCAAUCACCCCCCCGGGCCCUGGUAAAAGACAAAGCAAAAUCACAAAUUACUUUCCUAAGAUGGAGGAGGGUAAGAGUCCACAAAAAGAGUUAAUUCUUGAUGAAGUAAUACCCCCCCUCUACUGUUCUUGAUUGGACGUCUUAUCCUAAAAGAUAUAUCAAGAUACUGGAAAUAUUAACUCCCCAUGCAGCCUAGCGCAAGAACUAGCUUUAGCCGAGGAACUUCAGGAGGGAAAUACCUCUAUUAUUAAGGAACAGCUGCCCACGGAAGAAAUUACACCAACCCAUCUAAACCAGAUAUCUAUUUCAAAAUACUCUCAAACAGAACUGAGUGACGGUCGCCCUUUGGAUUAUUCCCUAGCAAUAAGUACUGAUCUAGCCAACAUAAAAAAUUAUCUAACAAUAACAAAUGGGCUACUGCUGACGUUAGUAGAAAAUUUCACACCUCAAUUAAAA